CUACGGGACGCAGCAGUGAGGAAUUUUGCGCAAUGGGGGAAACCCUGACGCAGCAACGCCGCGUGAGCGAAGAAGGCCCUCGGGUCGUAAAGCUCUGUCAAGUGGGAAAAAAAUUUUUUGAUCAAUAGUCAAAAGACUUGAUGGUACCACUGGAGGAAGCACCGGCUAACUCCGUGCCAGCAGCCGCGGUAAUACGGAGGGUGCAAGCGUUGUUCGGAUUUACUGGGCGUAAAGAGCGUGUAGGCGGUUUAGCAAGUCAGAUGUGAAAGCCCUGGGCUCAACCCGGGAAGUGCAUUUGAAACUGCUUCACUAGAGUAUGGGAGAGGAGAUUGGAAUUCCUGGUGUAGAGGUGAAAUUCGUAGAUAUCAGGAGGAACACCCGUGGCGAAGGCGAUUCUCUGGACCAAUACUGACGCUGAGACGCGAAAGCGUGGGGAGCAAACAGGAUUAGAUACCCGAGUAGUC
rnacentral:rRNA from 1 species